rnacentral:rRNA from 1 species
GGCUCAGAUUGAACGCUGGCGGCAGGCCUAACACAUGCAAGUCGAGCGGAAACGAUGGAAGCUUGCUUCCAGGCGUCGAGCGGCGGACGGGUGAGUAAUGCAUAGGAAUCUGCCCGCUAGUGGGGGAUAACCUGGGGAAACCCAGGCUAAUACCGCAUACGUCCUACGGGAGAAAGCAGGGGAUCUUCGGACCUUGCGCUAUCGGAUGAGCCUAUGUCGGAUUAGCUAGUUGGUGAGGUAAUGGCUCACCAAGGCCGCGAUCCGUAGCUGGUCUGAGAGGAUGAUCAGCCACAUCGGGACUGAGACACGGCCCGAACUCCUACGGGAGGCAGCAGUGGGGAAUAUUGGACAAUGGGCGAAAGCCUGAUCCAGCCAUGCCGCGUGUGUGAAGAAGGCUUUCGGGUUGUAAAGCACUUUCAGUGGGGAAGAAAGCCUCGGGGCCAAUACCCUCGAGGGAGGACAUCACCCACAGAAGAAGCACCGGCUAACUCCGUGCCAGCAGCCGCGGUAAUACGGAGGGUGCGAGCGUUAAUCGGAAUUACUGGGCGUAAAGCGCGCGUAGGCGGCGUGAUAAGCCGGUUGUGAAAGCCCCGGGCUCAACCUGGGAACGGCAUCCGGAACUGUCAGGCUAGAGUGCAGGAGAGGAAGGUAGAAUUCCCGGUGUAGCGGUGAAAUGCGUAGAGAUCGGGAGGAAUACCAGUGGCGAAGGCGGCCUUCUGGACUGACACUGACGCUGAGGUGCGAAAGCGUGGGUAGCAAACAGGAUUAGAUACCCUGGUAGUCCACGCCGUAAACGAUGUCGACUAGCCGUUGGGGUCCUUGUGACCUUUGUGGCGCAGUUAACGCGAUAAGUCGACCGCCUGGGGAGUACGGCCGCAAGGUUAAAACUCAAAUGAAUUGACGGGGGCCCGCACAAGCGGUGGAGCAUGUGGUUUAAUUCGAUGCAACGCGAAGAACCUUACCUACUCUUGACAUCGUGCGAACUUGGUAGAGAUACCUUGGUGCCUUCGGGAACGCACAGACAGGUGCUGCAUGGCCGUCGUCAGCUCGUGUUGUGAAAUGUUGGGUUAAGUCCCGUAACGAGCGCAACCCUUGUCCCUAUUUGCCAGCGAUUCGGUCGGGAACUCUAGGGAGACUGCCGGUGACAAACCGGAGGAAGGUGGGGACGACGUCAAGUCAUCAUGGCCCUUACGAGUAGGGCUACACACGUGCUACAAUGGCCGGUACAAAGGGUUGCGAAGCCGCGAGGUGGAACUAAUCCCGAAAAGCCGGUCUCAGUCCGGAUCGGAGUCUGCAACUCGACUCCGUGAAGUCGGAAUCGCUAGUAAUCGUGAAUCAGAAUGUCACGGUGAAUACGUUCCCGGGCCUUGUACACACCGCCCGUCACACCAUGGGAGUGGACUGCACCAGAAGUGGUUAGCCUAACUUCGGAGGGCGAUCACCACGGUGUGGUUCAUGACUGGGGUGAAGUCGUAACAAGGUAGCCGUAGGGGAACCUGCGGUUCAUGACUGGGGUGAAGUCGUAACAAGGUAGCCGUAGGGGAACCUGC